CGUUGCCGAUUCCCCGGGGUUUGGGAACCGACUCCGAGUGGUACGGCUUCGGUCGUAUUACGAGGAGUCGGGGACGCUCCGGGAUACGCGGCGGACGCCUGCGACGAUUCCAUAAGGAGACGGAAAUCGGUUCUUCACGAUAAUGAUGCGGGGUGGGCGUGUAUUAUCGCUGCCGUCGUUGAGUACUAGGUUUCCAGCAAUGGUUGCUUAGCUUAGCUUCGCGCAGCUUUAGUGGCGGCCCCCCGAUUAAACGCUCCGAUCCGUGCGCGGCGCAUAUAUACGGCGCACGUCUAUCCGUCCCGUCUUGAAACACGGACCAAGGAGUCUAGCAAGUGCGCGAGUCAUAAGGGUUCACUAAACCUUGAAUGGCGCAACGAAAGUAAUGUAAAAGCAAUGUCACGUCGUAUUUAUACUUCGUGUUGUUGCUGAUGCGGGUGCUGGGGGUUCGCCCCCACACCUCGUUGGACCGAUCCCGACUUUCCCGCCCUUCACGGGGCGGUGAAAUAAAAUUGAAAGCGGCGCAGGUCCGGGGCCCGCCAUAUUAUCCUCUUCCGUACCACUACUACGGAAGAAGAUAGGCGGGUUCCAAGAGCGUUCGUGCUAGUACCCGAAAGAUGGUGAUCUAUGCCUGGCCAGGA
rnacentral:rRNA from 1 species